rnacentral:rRNA from 1 species
ACACGCCGCGGCGGCGACGCGUGUCCGGUGUAGAGGAGCGGGAGGAGCUGUAGAGGCCGGUUCCGCGAGUGAAGAGGCCGGGAGGAGGUGUAGAGGAGCGGAGGUGGGGUAGGUGAAGGACAGCUUCUGACGCCGUUGCCUCGAGCCGUCGACGCCGGGAAGAGGUUCUGACGUCGUACCACGAGCCGCCGACGCCGUUGCCUCGACUACCUCGCGCUCGGCUGGUCAAGUUGUCUCCGUCAUCGUGCCCCGUCGCCAUCGUCGUACCUCCCGCAGGCGAACUGACCUUUCUCUUACAUAAACAACUAUCACUCUCACUCCUAUUACUACCCCACUCACUCCUACCCCUUCUACGAGGUAGGUACGUACUAGUCGUUCUCCGGGUUUACGUUCACCUUUUUCUCUGUGUUUAAGUUCACCUUUUCCUGCGUGGAGGUUCUCUACCGUUAAACCUCUGGGCAUCUAGACAUGCCGAACAGUUCUUCUUCUGGUUCCCGCAGUUGUCGGAUAUGGGACAACGAAUCUUUAGACAACCGUUCAGAGAAGAAAGAUCACAAAAUACUAAGUACUAUUAACGAAUCUUUUAAAAUCAAUGAACCUCGACGAUCAAAGAAUCUACAUAUGUGAAAGAUAGGUACGGAUCGGAAGCAACAGUACAAUUCGUUACAUAAAUACAAUAGGACUUUACAAUGGUGAACUGAUAACAACGUGAUCUGUGGAGGUACAAUCAGGUAAAAUAAAGUAAUACGUGUUUCACCUUCUUCUUUUAAGACUACAACUUGAUGUAGGUAGGACUAAAAGGAAAACAUACUGUUAACUGUUUACCGAUCAGGUUCGGUUGUCACCCGACAAACACAGAUACAACAAAAGAAACAUAGGAAUCUCAAAACAACACGAGCUCAUUUUUGACAUUUGAUCUUAAGUAGUAAGAUCAUAUACCUCCGUAAAUUGGAAACGAGGACUUCGAAAAACCACUUAUUUUUUGAUAUAACGACAUCAUCUAAACAAUAAACUAAGUACUCGUACAUAUUUAAACUGAUAACAAGAUGAUCGGUGAACAGGACAAUCAGGUAAAAUAAAAAUUACGUGUUUCACCGUCUUCUAUUAAGGCUACGUCUUGAUGGAGGUAGGACUGGGAAGGAGACAAAAGAGAUUUGGUAUUUACCGUGAACUUCUUAUUGAUUCCUAUAGUUCUUCGAAAACCUACAUCCGUUCGAACCUCGACGACAAAGUUACAGUAUGAAACUAUCAACGGAAAACCUCGACAACAAAGAUACACAUUAUGAAAUUCAGACAACCGACAUGGCCUGAUAAAUUUGAGACUUGAUACGACACUACCAACUUGACUACAACCUGACAAUUCCCAAUACAACCUCCGGUGAAAUAUUGAUUACACACGGACAAUACAACCUGUCUACGUCAAAAUAAUUAGG